UGAGUAUAAAGAAUAAUAUUCACUUAAUAACUAAAAAGAUAAAGAAAACAGUUGGUCUAGGUAAGGUAAGGAAAGGAUAGAUCUACUCCCGACCUCCCCUUCUCUUUGGUCAAACCCAAAAACUGGCCACAGCAAUUUCCUACCCUUUUUAACUCUAGAAUUUGAUUCUUGCCCAGAAUUCUUGCAUCCUUUUACCCAUUGAGAGUUAUCUAAUCGUUUACCCAGACAAUUUCUCCACCAAAUUGAUGAACAAAAGGUCAAAGACGAUGGAGGAGAGGCUCCAAUCCAGGGUUCCUAUGAUACUUAGCCAUACUUGUCGCCGUCGACGCCUACCGGAGCUUCCACCCAAGACAUGCAUCCUCUCAGAACGCCGAUAGCUUCUGGUUUUAAUUGAACUUCCAGCUAAAGAAAAAUCAAGAAGAAGGAGCAUAAUAAGCCAAGCAUUUGCUGGAAAAUUUUGCACUUUUGCAAAAUGUAAUGGCAGCAAGUCAAGAAAGUUAUAAGUACAAAACAUAAAUAAGAAAUUGAUGUAUUGUGCCAUUUGGAAACAUGUAUUAAUGUAAAUAUAGUACUUGUAGCUAUCUAUGUAACCUUUAUUGAAACCUAAGCACAAGUUGUAUUUUUUUCUUUUCUUUUCUUUUUGACAAAGAAUGUAAACAGGUUAAUAUUUGCUUUUGUUUGUAAGAAACACUUGUGUUCUACUCUAGCAUUUUGUUAACAAAAGCUAGUUGGUUUUAUAAAAACAAAUAAACCAAAAUCAGCAGGGAUCAAACAAUUCAUCAUUCAUGACCCCAUACACAAAUCUAGACCCUCUAUAUUUGAUCAUUCUUUUGCCAAAACAAAUAAGUAUAUAGCUAUAAUUAGUUUAGAAGUAGAGUAAACUAGACUAAUUAACUUAAAUAGAGUUCAAGUCUUCACAGGGUUGCUCGAAGUUUUGCAAGUGGUUCUGACUCCAGGUCCGAUGGAAAUCUCUGAGAUGCAUGCGAUGCAGUUAUGGUGGGUCUCGGUUGCAGAUCGAAGGCGUUGCAAAUGCUGAGAUUU
rnacentral:lncRNA from 1 species